rnacentral:rRNA from 1 species
GGGGACAACCCGCCGAAAGGCGGGCUAAACCCGCGUACAUGCCACCGGGGCAUCCCGGAGGCAGGAAAGGCUUCGGCCGGACAGGGAUGGGCAUGCGGCGCAUUAGGCAGUAGGCGGGGUAACGGCCCACCUAACCGACGAUGCGUAGGGGUUCUGAGAGGAAGGUCCCCCACACUGGUACUGAGACACGGACCAGACUCCUACGGGAGGCAGCAGUGAGGAAUAUUGGUCAAUGGUCGGGAGACUGAACCAGCCAAGCCGCGUGAGGGAGGAAGGUACAGAGUAUCGUAAACCUCUUUUGUCAGGGAACAAAGACUGGGACGCGUCCCCGGAUGAGUGUAGCUGAAGAAAAAGCAUCGGCUAACUCCGUGCCAGCAGCCGCGGUAAUACGGAGGAUGCGAGCGUUAUCCGGAUUUAUUGGGUUUAAAGGGUGCGCAGGCGGUCUGUUAAGUCAGCGGUCAAAGCCCGGGGCUCAACCCCGGCCCGCCGUUGAAACUGGCAGUCUCGAGUUGGAGAGAAGUAUGCGGAAUGCGCGGUGUAGCGGUGAAAUGCAUAGAUAUCGCGCAGAACUCCGAUUGCGAAGGCAGCAUGCCGGCUCCACACUGACGCUGAGGCACGAAAGCGUGGGUAUCGAACAGGAUUAGAUACCCUGGUAGUCCACGCAGUAAACGAUGAA